GAUGAACGCUGGCGGCGUGCCUAAUACAUGCAAGUCGAACGCAUAGCGAAAGGUGCUUGCACCUUUCAAGUGAGUGGCGAACGGGUGAGUAACACGUGGACAACCUGCCUCAAGGCUGGGGAUAACAUUUGGAAACAGAUUCUAAUACCGAAUAAAACUUAGUGUCGCAUGACACAAAGUUAAAAGGCGCUUCGGCGUCACCUAGAGAUGGAUCCGCGGUGCAUUAGUUAGUUGGUGGGGUAAAGGCCUACCAAGACAAUGAUGCAUAGCCGAGUUGAGAGACUGAUCGGCCACAUUGGGACUGAGACACGGCCCAAACUCCUACGGGAGGCUGCAGUAGGGAAUCUUCCACAAUGGGCGAAAGCCUGAUGGAGCAACGCCGCGUGUGUGAUGAAGGCUUUCGGGUCGUAAAGCACUGUUGUAUGGGAAGAACAGCUAGAAUAGGAAAUGAUUUUAGUUUGACGGUACCAUACCAGAAAGGGACGGCUAAAUACGUG
rnacentral:rRNA from 1 species